rnacentral:rRNA from 1 species
UACAGAGGGUGCGAGCGUUAAUCGGAAUUACUGGGCGUAAAGCGCGCGUAGGCGGCUUUGCAAGUCGGGUGUGAAAUCCCCAGGCUUAACCUGGGAACUGCAUUCGAGACUGCAUUGCUAGAGUAUGGGAGUGGGAAGUGGAAUUUCCGGUGUAGCGGUGAAAUGCGUAGAUAUCGGAAGGAACAUCAGUGGCGAAAGCGACUUCCUGGACCAAUACUGACGCUCAUGUGCGAAAGCGUGGGGAGCAAACAGG